GCAGCAUGUUUAUUUCACAGAUGUAGAAGUUCCCAGUAGGACACUGAAAUUCUGAACAGCAGAGUUAUGGAGUAUCAGAAUCUUUCCAUGGAAACCUCCAUAUGGCCUUUCUAUAUAUAUUCUCGUAUGUCUUAUUCUACCAACACAACAAUAAGCGUGUUGCAGUCAAUGUAUUAAGCAAAGCAAACCUGCCAGCCAGCAAAUUCAAAUAAAAAAUAAAGCAUUAAAAAUCAAUGGAGAUGUUAAAACAACACAAAUAGAAAACUAGUAACUACCAACCAUCCAUCCUAUUUGAAUUAUCAAGCAGAACAUGACCAUAAAAUUUGGUAACUUGUUACAUUAC
rnacentral:lncRNA from 1 species